rnacentral:rRNA from 1 species
AGGGUUCGAUUCUGGCUCAGGAUGAACGCUGGCGGCGUAGCCUAACACAUUCAAGUCGAACGAACUGUAGAAUACAGUGAGUGGCGGACGGGUGAGUAACGCGUAAGCAACCUGCCUUUGUGUGUGGAAUAACAACCGGAAACAGUUGCUAAUACCGCAUAACGCACAGAAAUCGCAUGUUUUUUGUGCCAAAGAUUUAUCGCACAAAGAUGGGCUUGCGUCCGAUUAGAUAGUUGGCGGGGUAACGGCCCACCAAGUCAACGAUCGGUAGCCGGACUGAGAGGUUGAACGGCCACAUUGGAACUGAGAUACGGUCCAGACUCCUACGGGAGGCAGCAGUGGGGAAUAUUGGGCAAUGGACGAAAGUCUGACCCAAGCGACGCCGCGUGAGGGAAGAAGGUCUUCGGAUUGUAAACCUUAGUCAACAGGGACGAAGCAAGUGACGGUACCUGUGGAGGAAGCCACGGCUAACUACGUGCCAGCAGCUGC